CUUGGUCAUUUAGAGGAAGUAAAAGUCGUAACAAGGUUUCCGUAGGUGAACCUGCGGAAGGAUCAUUCAUAAUAAGUGUUUUAUGGCACUUUUAAAAAUCCAUAUCCACCUUGUGUGAAAUGUCUGUCGCUUGCUUUUUUCUUCGGAAAAAAGGGGUGGCUCUACAUCAACUCAUUUUAAAUACUUUGUCUGAAAACUAUUAUGAAUAAACUAAUUCAAAAUACAACUUUCAACAACGGAUCUCUUGGCUCUCGCAUCGAUGAAGAACGCAGCGAAAUGCGAUACGUAAUGUGAAUUGCAGAAUUCAGUGAAUCAUCGAAUCUUUGAACGCAUAUUGCGCUCUUUGGUAUUCCGAAGAGCAUGCUUGUUUGAGUAUCAGUAAACACCUCAACACUCUCGAUUUGUUUCGAAUGAGUGUUGGAUUUGAGCAAACCCAACGCCUUUCUGCUAGUCAGACUUGCGGCGGGUUGCUUGAAAUGCAGGUGCAGCUGAGUUUUCUUCUGAGCUAAUAGCAUACUUAAUUAGUCCCGUAAAAAGGAUUAUUAAUCUGCUGAAGCUUACACCAAAGGAAGAGCUCUUGGCUGACUGAUGCAGAAUUACGCUUAGCUGGCAACAGCUUUGUAAAACUCGAUCUCAAAUCAAGUAAGACUACCCGCUGAACUUAAGCAUAUCAAUAAGCGGAGGAAAAGAAACUAACAAGGAUUCCCCUAGUAACGGCGAGUGAAGCGGGAUGAGCUCAAAUUUAAAAUCUGGCUGGUUUACUAGUCCGAAUUGUAGUUUAAAGAAGCGUUUUCCGUGGCAGCCUGGGUAUAAAUCCUUUGGAACAGGGUAUCAUAGAGGGUGAGAAUCCCGUCUUUGACUCAGUGCAUGCUACUAUGUGAUACGUUUUCAAAGAGUCGAGUUGUUUGGGAAUGCAGCUCAAAAUGGGUGGUAAAUUUCAUCUAAAGCUAAAUAUUGGCGAGAGACCGAUAGCGAACAAGUACCGUGAGGGAAAGAUGAAAAGAACUUUGAAAAGAGAGUUAAACAGUGCGUGAAAUUGUUGAAAGGGAAACGCUUGACACCAGUCAUGCGGGUGGAAAAUCAAUCUUUUGCAGUGGGGAGUGGUGGGCGUUCAGACCGCAAGGCUGGCGUUUGCUUCAUCUUUGUUGUAAGUGAUGCACUUUUUCAUCUGCAGGUCAACAUCAGUUUGUUCUGCUGGACAAAACUCCAAGAGAAGGUAGCAGCUUAGGCUGUGUUAUGGCUCUGGAGCGAUACAGUGGAGUGGACUGAGGUUUUCGCAGCAUGUGCUCUCGGGCAAGGCUGAUUGGGUGCUAUGGGAUCGUUCGGCGUACAAUGCUUGCAUUUUGCGUCGUGUCUUUUCUGUACUCGCUCAACUCGGCUCUUCCAUGCUUAGGAUGUUGACUUAAUGGUUUUAAUCGACCCGUCUUGAAACACGGACC
rnacentral:rRNA from 1 species